AGCAUGUGGUUUAAUUUGACUCAACGCGGGAAAUCUUACCGGGUCCGGACACACUGAGGAUUGACAGGCAAUAUCUCAUGGUUAUUAACCCGGUUAUUACAUUUUGUUUAAUCGGUUAUUAAGCAUCGAGUGUUAAAUAUGCUAGUCCUUUCAUGAUUAUGUGAUAGGUGGUGCAUGGCCGUUCUUAGUUCGUGGAGUGAUCUGUCUGCUUAAUUGCGUUUCACUAAGGGCCCAUAAAUUCAAGGUAUGUUAGCUAUCGUCGCUCUAUGGACCCCUUAUACUCGAUUUCGCUUUAAUUAGCGUUAUUUGUUUAAUAAGCGCGCGUCUUUAUUUAAAGAGUUUAAGACACUGCGCAUGCUGUGGGCUCUGAAAGCAACGAACGUGACCGCAACGUCUUGUUGCCUUAAUAAAG
rnacentral:rRNA from 1 species